rnacentral:rRNA from 1 species
CCUACGGGGGGCAGCAGUAGGGAAUAUUGCUCAAUGGGGGAAACCCUGAAGCAGCAACGCCGCGUGGAGGAUGAAGGUUGUCGGAUUGUAAACUCCUUGUGGUAGAGAAGAGAAGGACGGUAGCUAACGAAUAAGCACCGGCGCACGCCGUGCCAGCAGCCGCGGUAAUCCGGAGGGGGCAAGCGUUACUCGGAACCACUGGGCGUAAAGAGCGCGGAGGCGGGAUCGAAAGUCCGAUGUGAAAUCCUAUGGCUUAACCAUAGAUCGGCAUUUCAAACUGUUAUUCUAGAGUAUGGGAGCGGUAGGUGGACUUCUUGGUGUCGGGGUCCACUCCGUCGAGAUCCCGAGGAAUCCUCAUUGCGAUGGCGACCUGCUAGACCAUACCUGACGCUGAUGCGCGAACGCGUGGGGAGCACACAGGAUUAGCUACCCGAGUAGUC